rnacentral:rRNA from 1 species
UACGGAGGGGGCUAGCGUUGUUCGGAAUUACUGGGCGUAAAGCGUGCGCAGGCGGUUCUAUAAGACAGAUGUGAAAUCCCCGGGCUUAACCUGGGAACUGCAUUUGUGACUGCAUCGCUGGAGUGCGGCAGAGGGGGAUGGAAUUCCGCGUGUAGCAGUGAAAUGCGUAGAUAUGCGGAGGAACACCGAUGGCGAAGGCAAUCCCCUGGGCCUGCACUGACGCUCAUGCACGAAAGCGUGGGGAGCAAACAGG